rnacentral:tRNA from 1 species
GACCCAUUAGCUCAGUCGGUAGAGCAUCUGACUUUUAAUCAGGGGGUCCGGGAUUAGAGUUCCCGAUGGGUCACCA